AGCUAUAGGAUAAUGCAUAGGAGUAAGAAAGAAAAUAAGUAAAAAAAGUCUAGCAAGUUAGCAAGGCCAGAGGAAUUAUUAAAGUUAUUAAGUUAAUUUAUUAGCAAGUUUAUUAAACAAGUAGAAAAUAUAAAAGACUAGAAUCCAAAGAGAAGAGAGGGAAGGAAGUGAUGUCAGAGCCAUAUUAUUAUUGUUGGUGUUGAGGAAAAAUCUCCCU
rnacentral:lncRNA from 1 species